GUGGGGAAUCUUCCGCAAUGGACGAAAGUCUGACGGAGCGACGCCGCGUGAGUGAAGAAGGCCUUCGGGUCGUAAAGCUCUGUCAUCAGGGACGAACGGCCGGUGGAGUGGAAAGCCACCGGAUUGACGGUACCUGAGAAGGAAGCCACGGCUAACUACGUGCCAGCAGCCGCGGUAAUACGUAGGUGGCAAGCGUUGUCCGGAAUUAUUGGGCGUAAAGCGCGCGCAGGUGGGAUCUUAAGUCCAUUUUUAAAGUUCGGAGCUCAACUCCGUGAUGGGAUGGAAACUGGGAUUCUUGAGUACCGGAGAGGAAAGCGGAAUUCCCCGUGUAGCGGUGAAAUGCGUAGAUAUUAGGAGGAACACCAGUGGCGAAGGCGACUUUCUGGACUGUAACUGACGCUGAGGCUCGAAAGCCAGGGGAGCGAACGGGAUUAGAAACCCCGGUAGUCC
rnacentral:rRNA from 1 species